UUUAUGAAUCUGUUUUCCAAUUAAAAUCAAUCAAACCUCUGUUUUACAAUGGUACAACUGUUUGGUCCUGAUUUCCAACCAAGGUUCCCAUGUUUGAAUCCCAAGUAUAACAUAAGAAACAGAGAUAUCAAAGAAAAAUGUGAACUUGAUACAUUAGAAACAAUAUCAUUGAAUCUACCAAAUACAUUCUAACCUCAAAACUGAAUGCACAAACAAUGUCAAAGCUUCAGGAGUUUGCAAGAGCAGAACAAUUGCUUUUCUGUAAUUGCACAAGCUUAAUAAGGAAAUAAAAAUCUAUGAAACUCUACCCAAAAAUAUCAUUGGAUCAAUCCCAUGGCAAAGCAUUUGUGACUUUAUGUUAUGCCGAUUGCUGCAUAAUUUUAAGCUGCCAAGAAAGAUGCAAUCAAUAUAUUUGCUAGAUUCUUUCCAAAAGGUCACAGACAUACUAUGAAUGCAUACCCAAUUAGAUGCAUCAGCAACUCAAUCUCAUCAUCCAUCAUCCAUCAUCUCCACUUACCCGCUGCUGCCUCUCGCCUUACCCUCGACCUCUAUCACGUUUCUCUUCCUGCCAUAAGAAGAUCUGAUACAGCUCAACUUUGCCAUAUUUAUUAUAGGUAUCUUUUUGUAACCAUAAGAGUAAGCUUUUUCUAACUAUUUCUGAUCUGUAUCAUCAGAUAGUCUUCUCAUCAUAUUUUAUGAAUUGCAGCUCUUAUCUAUCACGUUUCUCUUCCUGCCAUAAGAAGAUCUGAUACAGCUCAACUUUGCCAUAUUUAUUAUAGGUAUCUUUUUGUAACCAUAAGAGUAAGCUUUUUCUAACUAUUUCUGAUCUGUAUCAUCAGAUAGUCUUCUCAUCAUAUUUUAUGAAUUGCAGCUCUUAAAAAAAUGU
rnacentral:lncRNA from 1 species